CAAAGAUUAAGCCAUGCAUGUCUAAGUAUAAAUAAAUUUAUAUUGUGAAACUGCGAAUGGCUCAUUAAAUCAGUAUGAUCUACGUGACAUAUUCUUUACUACUUGGAUAACCGUGGUAAUUCUAGAGCUAAUACAUGCAAAAAAGCCCUGACUUUACGAAGGGGUGCACUUAUUAGAUAAAGCCAACGCUGGGUAAAACCAGUUUCCCUUGGUGAUUCAUAAUAAUUAAGCGGAUCGCAUGGCCCUUGUGCUAGCGACAGUCCACUCGAUUUUCUGUCCCUAUCAUGGUUGAGAUUGUAAGAUAGAGGCUUACAAUGCCUACAACGGGUAACGGGGAAUUAGGGUUCGAUUCCCGGAGAGGGAGCCUGAGAAACGGCUACCACAUCCAAGGAAGGCAGCAGGCGCGCAAAUUACCCAAUCCCGACACGGGGAGGGUAGUGACAAUAAAUAACAAUGCAGGGCCUUUAAGGUCUUGCAAUUGGAAUGAGUACAAUUUAAAUCCCUUAACGAGGAUCAAUUGGAGGGMAAGUCUGGUGCCAGCAGCCGCGGUAAUUCCAGCUCCAAUAGCGUAUAUUAAAGUUGUUGCAGUUAAAACGUCYSYMGUCAAAUUUUAGUCUUUAGGCGAGGUGGCCUGGUCUUCAUUGAUCAAGCUCGCUUCUGCCGAGACUUUUUUUUUGGUUAUGCUAGAGGUGAUUUCGGUUGCUUUUAGUCUCUAAUCAAAUGAUUACCAUGAGCAAAUCAGAGUGUUUAAAGCAGGCUUUCAAGCUUGAAUGUGUUAGCAUGGAAUAAUGAAAUAUGACUUUAGUCCCUAUUUCGUUGGUUCAGGAACUUGAGUAAUGAUGAAUAGAAACGGUUGGGGGCAUUUGUAUUUGGUCGCUAGAGGUGAAAUUCUUGGAUUGACCGAAGACAAACUACUGCGAAAGCAUUUGACCCAGGACGUUUUCAUUGAUCAAGGUSUAAAGUUAAGGGAUYGAAGACGAUUAGAUACCGUCGUAGUCUUAACCCACAAACUAUGCCCGACUAGAGAUUGGGCCUGUUUAUUAUGACUGGCUCAGCAUCUUAGCGAAAGUAAAGUUUUUGGGUUCUGGGGGGGAGUAUGGGACGCAAGGCUGAAACUUAAAGGAAUUGACGGAAGGGCACCACCAGGAGUGGAGCCUGCGGCUU
rnacentral:rRNA from 1 species